GGAGGUGUUGGUUUUAGGACAUAAAUUUUGGGAUUGGAGAAGCUUCUAAGUGGGUCAAGGGGAAGCAAUUGGAAGAAGUUGUGGCCAUUAAAAACA